GAGCUGGAAGAAGUGGCUGGGGAGAGGGAGGUCUGGGCCUCCCUUCUGAAGCUGCUGCCCCCGCGACCCGACCCCGGAUAGGCYGAAGAAAAUGGAAAUGGA